AGAUGUGAGGGCCAUCUGGCUGCAACGUCUGUCACCCCAUUGAUAGCCAGGGUUGAUUUGGCUGAUCCGUCUUGAGUAGAUGGUUGUCCCAUUCCUCCCUUACCAUUCCACGUGCAUCCCUCCCAAAGCCGUGCUCUUGUCGACAAUGAUGACCAUCCCUGAUAAAGGAGGACUGGUCUUUGGUCAAGGGUAUACCAGUA
rnacentral:snRNA from 1 species